CUGGCUCAGGACGAACGCUGGCGGCGUGCCUAAUACAUGCAAGUCGAACGGUCUUUCUAUGGAAGCUUGCUCCACUGAGAAGAUAGUGGCGAACGGGUGAGUAACACGUGGGUAACCUGCCCAUAAGAGGGGGGAUAACAUCCGGAAACGGGUGCUAAUACCGCAUAGUUUUCUUGAUCGCAUGAUCGGGAAAGGAAAGACGGCCUUUGUGCUGUCGCUUAUGGAUGGACCCGCGGCGUAUUAGUUAGUUGGUGAGGUAACGGCUCACCAAGACGAUGAUACGUAGCCGACCUGAGAGGGUGAUCGGCCACAUUGGGACUGAGACACGGCCCAAACUCCUACGGGAGGCAGCAGUAGGGAAUCUUCCGCAAUGGACGAAAGUCUGGCGGAGCAACGCCGCGUGAGUGAAGAAAGGUUUUCGGAUCGUAAAACUCUGUUGUCAGAGAAGAACAAGUUGGAGAGUAACUGCUCCAGCCUUGACGGUAUCUGACCAGAAAGCCACGGCUAACUACGUGCCAGCAGCGGC
rnacentral:rRNA from 1 species